AAAUUGAAGAGUUUGAUCAUGGCUCAGAUUGAACGCUGGCGGCAGGCCUAACACAUGCAAGUCGAGCGGUAGCACAGAGAGCUUGCUCUCGGGUGACGAGCGGCGGACGGGUGAGUAAUGUCUGGGAAACUGCCUGAUGGAGGGGGAUAACUACUGGAAACGGUAGCUAA
rnacentral:rRNA from 3 species